rnacentral:rRNA from 1 species
UUGGAGGGCAAGUCUGGUGCCAGCAGCCGCGGUAAUUCCAGCUCCAAUAGCGUAUAUUAAAGUUGUUGCAGUUAAAAAGCUCGUAGUUGAAUUUCGGGGUUAGCAGGUUGGUCGUGCCACUGGUAUGAACUGGCCUUGCUGAUUCCUCCCUCUUGAUGAGCCGUAAUGCCAUUAAUUUGGUGUUGCGAGGAAUCAGGACUGUUACUUUGAAAAAAUUAGAGUGUUUAAAGCAGGCAAGCGCUUGAAUACAUUAGCAUGGAAUAAUGAAAUAGGACGUUUGAUUCUAUUUUGUUGGUUUCUAGGAUCGACGUAAUGAUUAAUAGGGAUAGUUGGGGGCAUUAGUAUUCAAUUGUCAGAGGUGAAAUUCUUGGAUUUAUUGAAGACUAACUACUGCGAAAGCAUUUGCCAAGGAUGUUUUCAUUAAUCAAGAACGAAAGUUAGGGGAUCGAAGACGAUCGGAUACCGUCGUAGUCUUAACCAUAAACUAUACCGACUAGGGAUCGGAUGAUGUUAAUUUUUUAAUGACUCAUUCGGCGCCUUACGGGAAAC